UACGAAGGGGGGCUAGCGUUGCUCGGAAUCACUGGGCGUAAAAGCGCACGUAGGCGGAUCUUUAAGUCAGGGGUGAAAUCCCAAGGCUCAACCUUGGAACUGCCUUUGAUACUGCAAAUCUCGAGUCCGGAAGAGGUGAGUGGAAUUCCUAGUGUAGAGGUGAAAUUCGUAGAUAUUAGGAAGAACACCAGUGGCGAAGGCGGCUCACUGGUCCGGUACUGACGCUGAGGUGCGAAAGCGUGGGGAGCAAACAGGG
rnacentral:rRNA from 1 species